GUUCACCACACUGGUAGCUGCUGCCCUCGUGGUUCUUGUCGCUGCUGACGGCAUCCCAGACUUCGUUGUACCUGGAAGAUGCGCUAAAGUGGCCAACCAGGACAAGUUCGAUCUUCGCAGGGACAUCUUCCUGGAACGACGAAGUCGGGGAUCUUGUCAGCAGCGACGGCUGCUACUACAGCAAAGAAAAACAAAGAUGUAUUCAUGAUGAUCACAAUGGAUGCUACUUAUGUGACAAAAUCUUCAGUGUUUUCGAUUAUAAGCGAGCCAAGCUGACAUAAACAAUCACACUUAUACUAU